rnacentral:rRNA from 1 species
GGGCCCGCACAAGCGGUGGAGCAUGUGGUUUAAUUCGACGCAACGCGAAGAACCUUACCAGGUCUUGACAUCCUGAUUUUGGUUGUUAGAAAUAACUUCCUUCAGUUCGGCUGGAUCAGUGACAGGUGCUGCAUGGCUGUCGUCAGCUCGUGUCGUGAGAUGUUGGGUUAAGUCCCGCAACGAGCGCAACCCACAUCUUUAGUUGCCAGCAUUUAGUUGGGCACUCUAAAGAAACUGCCCGUGAUAAGCGGGAGGAAGGUGUGGAUGACGUCAAGUCCUCAUGGCCCUUACGGGUUGGGCUACACACGUGCUACAAUGGUAGUGACAAUGGGCUAAUCCCAAAAACUAUCUCAGUUCGGAUUGUCGUCUGCAACUCGACGGCAUGAAGUCGGAAUCGCUAG